GUGUUGGUGGUUCGGUGGUAGAAUUCUGGCCUGCCACGCGAGAAGCGCGGGUUCGAUUCCCGGCUAGUACA